UACGGGGGGGGCAAGCGUUUGUUCGGAAUUACUGGGCGUAAAGGGCUCGUAGGCGGCCAACUAAGUCGGACGUGAAAUCCCUCGGCUUAACCGGGGAACUGCGUCCGAUACUGGAUGGCUUGAGUGUGGGAGAGGGAUGCGGAAUUCCAGGUGUAGCGGUGAAAUGCGUAGAUAUCUGGAGGAACACCGGUGGCGAAGGCGGCAUCCUGGACUACUACUGACGCUGAGGAGCGAAAGCCAGGGGAGCAAAGCGGG
rnacentral:rRNA from 1 species